GCGACAGUACCCACCGUUUGGACCAUCAAUUCCGGCGUCACUUUUCCGGCUAGGUUUCCGUCGAUUCACAAUAUUUUGAAUCGGAAAAAUCCGGUUUCGACGAAGGUUCAUAUUAUAAGAUGAACAGGAGGAAGAAAGAUUUCGGGAUAGGAGACAAUGAAAGCGAAUUCUACGAUGGAAAGAUGAAAAAGAAUGAGCAGUCAAUGUCGUCGGCAUCUAUGACAUCAUCGGUGAAAGAGGAUAUGGAACCUGUGCAGUGUAGGUGCGGACAUACAAGCCCAAUUAUAACAUCCACUACUAUAAAAAAUCCUGGGAGGCGAUUCUAUGGGUGUGCUAUG